rnacentral:snoRNA from 1 species
AAAUUGAUGUAAACAUACUCAGCAUCCAUCUAAUUUAUUGCCACAAUGUUUUG